rnacentral:rRNA from 1 species
AGCCCAUUGAUGUUCUGGGCCGCACGCCGCGCCUACACUGACAGAGCCAGCGAGAUUUAUAACCCUUGGCCGGAAGGUCCGGGUAAUCUUGUGAAACUUUGUCGUGCYGGGGAUAGAGCAUUGCAAUUAUUGCUCUUCAACGAGGAAUGCCUAGUANGCGCAAGUCAUCAGCUUGCGUCGAUUACGUCCCUGCCCUUUGUACACACCGCCCGUCGCUACUACCGAUUGAAUGGCUUAGUGAGGUCUCCGGAUUGGCUUCGAGGACCCGGCAACGGGACUUUGUUGCUGAGAAGCUGAUCANACUUGGUCAUUUAGAGGAAGUAAAAGUCGUAACAAGGUUUCCGUAGGUGAACCUGCNGAAGGAUCAUUAUUGAUUGNAAACUGUUGCNCUUCUGUGCUGGCCCCUGCAWGUGCACGUCGGUGGCUUUCAUUCCAAUANCCCUUGUGAACCUUUGGCCUCUUGCUAGNCUUCNGCCGGYYNGAGGAUUCUACAUACAAAACCUCGAAUGUAAUGAAACUCUUGUUGUGCACAAGCACUACUAUAUACAACUUG